rnacentral:rRNA from 1 species
GAUGAACGCUGGCGGCGUGCUUAACACAUGCAAGUCGAACGGAAAGGCCCAAGCUUGCUUGGGUACUCGAGUGGCGAACGGGUGAGUAACACGUGGGUGAUCUGCCCUGCACUUCGGGAUAAGCCUGGGAAACUGGGUCUAAUACCGGAUAGGACCACAUUUUGGAUGGUGUGGUGGAAAGUUUUUCGGUGUGGGAUGAGCUCGCGGCCUAUCAGCCUGUUGGUGGGGUAAUGGCCUACCAAGGCGUCGACGGGUAGCCGGCCUGAGAGGGUGUACGGCCACAUUGGGACUGAGAUACGGACCAGACUCCUACGGGAGGCAGCAGUGGGGAGUAUUGCACAAUGGGCGCAAGCCUGAUGCAGCGACGCCGCGUGGGGGAUGACGGCCUUCGGGUUGUAAACUCCUUUCGCUAGGGACGAAGCGCAAGUGACGGUACCUGGAGAAGAAGCACCGGCUAACUACGUG